AGUCUACAAUAUAUGAAGUGGAUUGGUUACAUUACUUCUAAAUAAAUGAGACAGACUUCAGUGAAUUUUCCACCUUAUUAUAUCGAAAUUAUGUAAUGGAUGAAGCAGAAGAAAUUUACUCCUUCAAGGGUAUCGACUGGGACAUCAGUGUCCCAGAAGUAUUUUAUAAAUGUCCUGUUCGGCAAUAAAUAUACCCACCAUGGAAUCAAUUGGGAAUAUAAAGCCAGAUCACUGUAUUCAAGGUACUAUAUCUAUAUUUGUGUCAGCUAAUAGUUUAUUAUCAUACGAAAGUUUCAGAGAAAAAAAUACCAUAUUCAGGAAAAGGACUUGAAGUUUGUCAGUUGGACCCGAGGCUUGUUGCUUUUCUGAAUGGUGUUAUUUUCAAGAAUGGGGAGUCAGUGAAAUUAUUGGAAAUCAAAUGUUUAUUCAUUGGUCAAAUUAUUUCUGCUGAAAAUACUGAGCACCAUUGCCAAUAUUUGAGAAAAGGAAAAGCCAGCUAAGUUGAAGGAAUGAAUAAACAUUAUGCUAGAGUCUGAUUAAGUAUGGCAAUUAUGAAUUUGAAAAAUUGCGACUCUAUAGUUUUCUCAUCUGGUGAUAAGACGUUCAAAACUGUUAGUGAGCCAUUUGAUGAAGAAUUCACAAAAAAAUAAUUCUUAAAACUUGAAAUGAUUUAUUUUAAAAAUAUGCUUUACACAUUGUGUAGCAUGAAAGUUUACAUUUUUCAAUUAGAAAGAUAUUUUUCCAAGCCUUAAUUAUGCUGUAAUAAGACCAUCCAGAAUAAGAAAAGUUCCGAAUCAUACAUGUCUGAAGUUAUACAUGAUAUAACUUCCAGACUAUUGAAAAAUUUGAGUCCAGUUGUUAUUAGUAAGAGAGUAAAGGAUUUGCUAUUUGAUCAUACAAUAUACAGGUUGAGUGAUUUAUUUAGAAAUCAUUUUUGUAAAUAUUAUUUGAUAAUUUGUAACUACAAACAUAUUUAUGUUUUCAUUACAAUGACUAUUAAUACUACUCAUUUAUAGUUUAAGAUUUUUUGAUUGACAAGCCAUGUAAACUUUUGAUGGCGUAUGUUUUUAUGAAUUUCUUGUGUGCAAAUAAAUUAUUAUUAUUAUCAAA